rnacentral:rRNA from 1 species
UACGUAGGGUGCAAGCGUUAAUCGGAAUUACUGGGCGUAAAGCGUGCGCAGGCGGUUGUGCAAGACAGGUGUGAAAUCCCCGGGCUUAACCUGGGAACUGCAUUUGUGACUGCAUUGCUGGAGUGCGGCAGAGGGGGAUGGAAUUCCGCGUGUAGCAGUGAAAUGCGUAGAUAUGCGGAGGAACACCGAUGGCGAAGGCAAUCCCCUGGGCCUGCACUGACGCUCAUGCACGAAAGCGUGGGGAGCAAACAGG